UACGUAGGUGGCAAGCGUUGUCCGGAAUUAUUGGGCGUAAAGCGCGCGCAGGCGGUCCUUUAAGUCUGAUGUGAAAGCCCACGGCUCAACCGUGGAGGGUCAUUGGAAACUGGGGGACUUGAGUGCAGAAGAGGAGAGUGGAAUUCCACGUGUAGCGGUGAAAUGCGUAGAGAUGUGGAGGAACACCAGUGGCGAAGGCGACUCUCUGGUCUGAUAACUGACGCUGGAGGCGCGAAAGCGUGGGGAGCAAACAGG
rnacentral:rRNA from 1 species